CCUAGGGGGGGCAGCAGGCGCGAAACCUCUACAAUGCACGAAAGUGUGAUAGGGGAAUCCCAAGUGCUCAAGCACUGCUUGGGCUUUUGCCAUAUGUAAAUAGUAUGGCGAAUAAGUGGUGGGCAAGACUGGUGCCAGCCGCCGCGGUAACACCAGCGCCACGAGUGGCAAUCGCGUUUAUUGGGCCUAAAGCGUCCGUAGCAGGUUUUGUAAAUUUCUUGUGAAACUGCCAAGCUUAACUUGGCAAUGUGCAGGAAACACUGCAAGACUAGAGACCGGGAAGGGUCGGAAGUAUUCCUGAGGGAGCGGUAAAAUGCUAUAAUCUCAGGAGGACUACCGGUGGCGAAGGCGUCCGACUAGAACGGAUCUGACUGUGGGGGACGAAAGCUAGGGGAGCAAACCGGAUUAGAUACCCGAGUAGUCCUAGCUGUGAACGCUGUGAGCUAGGUGUCGCGUAUUCUACGGGAAUGCGCGGUGUCGUAAGGAAGCUACUAAGCUCACCGCCUGGGAAGUACGGUCGCAAGACUGAAACUUUAAGGAAUUGGCGGGGGCGCACCACAAGGGGUGCGGCGUGCGGUUUAAUCUAACUCAACACAGAGAACCUUACUAGGGGCGACGGCAAGAUGAAGGUCAUGCUGAAGACAUUACUCGAUGAGCCGAGCGGCGGUGCAUGGCC
rnacentral:rRNA from 1 species